GAUGAAGAACGUAGCGAAAUGCGAUACGUAAUGUGAAUUGCAGAAUUCAGUGAAUCAUCGAAUCUUUGAACGCAUAUUGCGCUCUCUGGUAUUCCGGAGAGCAUGCUUGUUUGAGUAUCAGUAAACACCUCAACUUCCAUAUCUUUUUUGAAAUGGGAGUUGGACUUGAGUGAUCCCAACGCUUUUCCUCACCGAAAAGUGGCGGGUUACUUGAAAUGCAGGUGCAGCUGGACUUUUCUCUGAGCUAUAAGCAUAUCUAUUUAGUCUGCCUAAAAAACAGCUUAUUACCUUUGCUGCAGCUAACAUAAAGGAGAUUAGUUCUUGUGCUGACUGAUGCAGGAUUCACAAAGACAGGCUUCGGCCGACUUUGUAAACUCGAUCUCAAAUCAAGUAAGACUACCCGCUGAACUUAAGCAUAACAAUAAGCGGAGGA
rnacentral:misc_RNA from 1 species